rnacentral:rRNA from 1 species
ACAACGACCCGACUUUCAAACGUCGACCUCGGAUCAGGUAGGGAUACCCGCUGAACUUAAGCAUAUCAAUAAGCGGAGGAA